rnacentral:rRNA from 1 species
GACGAACCGAGCGAACGUUAUUCGGAAUCACUGGGCUUAAAGGGCGCGUAGGCGGGCGGCCAAGUCAGGGGUGAAAGCCCCCAGCUCAACUGGGGAAGUGCCUCUGAUACUGGUCAUCUCGGGGGAGAUAGGGGCGUGCGGAACUUCCGGUGGAGCGGUGAAAUGCGUAGAUAUCGGAAGGAACACCGGUGGCGAAAGCGGCGCGCUGGAUCUCUUCUGACGCUGAGGCGGCGAAAGCCAGGGGAGCGAACGGGG